UCAGACGAACGCUGCGGCAGGUCUUAGGCAUGCAAGUCGAACGGAUGACAGAAGAGCUUGCUCUUCUGAAGUCAGUGGCGCACGAGUGAGUAACGCGUGGGAAACUGACCCUUCACUGGGGGAAUAACGUUUGGAAACGAACGCUAAUACCGCAUACGCCCGCAAGGGGAAAGAUUUUAUCGGUGAUGGAUGUGCCCGCGUUUGGAUUAGCUAGUUGGUGGGGUAAUGGCCUACCAAGGGGCAAUGAUCCAUAGCUGGUCUGAGAGGACGAUCAGCCACGCUGGAACUGAGACACGGUCCGGACUCCUACGGGAGGCAGCAGCUAAGAAUAUUGGGCAAUGGAGGAAACUCUGACCCAGCCCAUGCCGCGUGAAUGAAGAAGGCCUUCGGGUUGUAAAGUUCUUUUAGUCAUGAAGAUGAUGACAGUAGUGACAGAAAAAGCACCGGCUAACUUCGUGCCAGCCGCGGC
rnacentral:rRNA from 1 species